UCCUCCGUUGUGCUUUUUACAACGAGAGGCCGUAUUCUAUCUUUAAAAUAAAGUAAGUUCUGGUAAUUUUAAAUGGUUUUAUUUAUUAUAUUUAGUAAAAUGGAUAACGUUAACUUGAAGCGGGUUAUUUAUUUUUGGCUUUCUUUUCCUUAACAGAACGCUUGUGUGCUCGUAAUUUAUACUUUGUCUACGAGUCCCGUAAUAUUAUCGGGAGAGGAACCCCUGUCCAAGGGAUAGGGGUUUUUACCUGGAGAAUAAAGUGUAAACCAAA